GAUGAAUGCUGGCGGCGUGCCUAACACAUGCAAGUCGAGCGGCAGCGCGGUCUUCGGACUGGCGGCGAGCGGCGGACGGCUGAGUAACGCGUGGGAACGUACCCCAAAGUGAGGAAUAACUGCCCGAAAGGGUAGCUAAUGCCGCAUAUGGUCUUCGGAUUAAAGGAUUUAUCCGCUUUGGGAACGGCCUGCGUACGAUUAGAUUGUUGGUGAGGUAAUGGCUCACCAAGUCGACGAUCGUUAACUGGUCUGAGAGGAUGAUCAGUCAGACCGGAACUGAGACACGGUCCAGACUCCUACGGGAGGCAGCAGUGAGGAAUCUUCCACAAUGGGCGAAAGCCUGAUGGAGCAACGCCGCGUGCAGGAUGAAGGCCUUCGGUCGUAACUGCUUUAUAAGUGAAGAAUAUGACGGUAGCUAUGAAUAAGCA
rnacentral:rRNA from 1 species